rnacentral:rRNA from 1 species
UGCGCAGGCGGGCCUUUAAGUCAGUGGUGAAAUCUUGCCGCUUAACGGUAAAAUUGCCAUUGAAACUGAAGGUCUUGAAUAUGGUUGAGGUAGGCGGAAUGUGUUGUGUAGCGGUGAAAUACAUAGAUAUGACACAGAACGCCGAUUGCGAAGGCAGCUUACUAAGCCAUUAUUGACGCUGAGGCACGAAAGCGUGGGGAGCGAACAGGAUUAGAUACCCUGGUAGUCC